UCGGGCCGUCGGACUCCAGACCCCAAGCUCUAACAUACUAUAUGGAGAAAUUAAGGCAUUGAAAAGUCACUUGCCCCAGAUGACACAGCUAGUGGACAGUCGAGGAAAUGUGGGCUCUGGAGUUGAAUCACGAUCUAGAUUCAAAUCUUGGUCCUGCCAUUUGCUGGAGGGACAUGUUUAGGAGGGCAUCCCAGGAGAAGGCAGAGUCCAGGAGGCGGAUGUUGGGAAGCAAAUCCUGAACUCAUCAAGUCCCAUAGCCCCUUUGUCUAUGGACCUUCUGCCAGCAUCUUCUGUAAGAGUAAUGGUUCACCUAUCUCUUGCCCUGGGAGGCUGACACCUGUAGACUGCAUCUCACGCUCUCCUUGGCCAGCUAGCUUCAAGUUGAGUUCAGCUAGAAAACAACCCUGACAAGGAAAUGAGAAGACUAUUAAAAUGCACCAACCCAAGGUCUCCAGUGCUG
rnacentral:lncRNA from 1 species